rnacentral:lncRNA from 1 species
UUUCAGACCAGGCUGUCAGAUGGCUGAGAUCUGGGAUUUAGAAGAUACAAAGAACAGAGGAAAGGAACCACUUUGUAGUAUUUUGCAAAGAGACCCAAAACCAUAUUUUAAAACUGUUUUUAAAAAUGCUGUAUAUUCAGUUUUAAAGCCUAUUAAGUGAAAAUCCUAUAAUUGAGUUUUUAUUUACAGAACAAAAUUUUAACAACUUAUCAGCUUUGCAUUAUAUAAUAUAUAAUAUAUGACAGACUCUUACAUUGGUUAUGGGAUUACAAAUCUCAAAAGUUUUAUUACCAAAUUAUAAGUCUAGGCCUACUUUAGAAUU